rnacentral:rRNA from 1 species
AAUACAUGCAAGUCGAACGAAUCUCUUUUAGAGAUGAGUGGCGAACGGGUGAGUAAUACAUAGGUAACCUGCCCCUGUGCGGGGGAUAACAGGAGGAAACUCCUGCUAAUACCGCAUAGCCAUGAGCACCGCAUGGAGCUCAUGCCAAAUAUCCUUUAUGGGAUAGCGCAGGGAUGGACCUAUGGCGCAUUAGCUGGUUGGCGGGGCAACGGCCCACCAAGGCAACGAUGCGUAGCCGGCCUGAGAGGGCGGACGGCCACAUUGGGACUGAGACACGGCCCAGACUCCUACGGGAGGCAGCAGUAGGGAAUUUUCGGCAAUGGGGGAAACCCUGACCGAGCAACGCCGCGUGAGCGAAGAAGGCCUUCGGGUCGUAAAGCUCUGUUGUAAAGGAAGAACGGCGCAUACAGGAAAUGGUAUGCGAGUGACGGUACUUUACCAGAAAGCCACGGCUAACUACGUGCCAGCAGCCGCGGUAAUACGUAGGUGGCGAGCGUUAUCCGGAAUCAUUGGGCGUAAAGAGGGAGCAGGCGGCCGCAAGGGUCUGUGGUGAAAGACCGAAGCUAAACUUCGGUAAGCCAUGGAAACCGGGCGGCUAGAGUGCGGAAGAGGAUCGUGGAAUUCCAUGUGUAGCGGUGAAAUGCGUAGAUAUAUGGAGGAACACCAGUGGCGAAGGCGACGGUCUGGGCCGCAACUGACGCUCAUUCCCGAAAGCGUGGGGAGCAAAUAGGAUUAGAUACCCUAGUAGUCCACGCCGUAAACGAUGGUCACUAAGUGUCGGGGGUCAAACCCCGGUGCUGCAGUCAACGCAAUAAGUGACCCGCCUGAGUAGUACGUUCGCAAGAAUG